CUUGGUUUAUUUAGAGGAAGUAAAAGUCGUAACGAGGUUUCCGUAGGUGAACCUGCGGAAGGAUCAUUG
rnacentral:rRNA from 1 species